AUUGAACGCUGGCGGCAGGCCUAACACAUGCAAGUCGAGCGGAUGAAGGGAGCUUGCUCCUGGAUUCAGCGGCGGACGGGUGAGUAAUGCCUAGGAAUCUGCCUGGUAGUGGGGGAUAACGUCCGGAAACGGGCGCUAAUACCGCAUACGUCCUGAGGGAGAAAGUGGGGGAUCUUCGGACCUCACGCUAUCAGAUGAGCCUAGGUCGGAUUAGCUAGUUGGUGGGGUAAAGGCCUACCAAGGCGACGAUCCGUAACUGGUCUGAGAGGAUGAUCAGUCACACUGGAACUGAGACACGGUCCAGACUCCUACGGGAGGCAGCAGUGGGAAAUAUUGGACCAUGGGCGAAAGCCUGAUCCAGCCAUGCCGCGUGUGUGAAGAAGGUCUUCGGAUUGUAAAGCACUUUAAGUUGGGAGGAAGGGCAGUAAGUUAAUACCUUGCUGUUUUGACGUUACCCACAGAAUAAGCACCGGCUAACUUCGUG
rnacentral:rRNA from 1 species